rnacentral:sRNA from 1 species
UAAAAAAAAUUCUAAAUUUUGAAAAAUAUUAUUUCGGAAUUAUUUUUACUAGAGAUUAAGCAUAAAGUGAAUUUUUUGUAAAAAAAGCAAAGUGACAAAAAAAAACAAAAUCAUAAGAAAAAAUUAAAUGGCUCAGGCAAUUCUCCUAUGGGGCUUCGUCCUUCGUCCUCCUUCCGUUUCGUCCUCCUUGCGUUCGUCUGGCACGGUCGUUGAGUAAGGAAACCCAUCCAACAGAUACAAAAAAAAAACAAAAAGGCGACUGAUUGAUCCUCCUGGAGACCUCGUCUUUUGACAACCAAUUAACCAAUCCAAGACAAAAACACGGUGUAUGUUUGCGGCAAUGAUGAAUGAAUCCGUUUAUUAUAUUUUGAUACUAUGAGCUGUGGGAGCUGAAACUUUAUAUUUUGAUA